CAGACAACAAGCCACCUCAUCGGUAUUCUAUAUCCCCUCCUCCCCCCCACUCUCUCUCACUCUCCCUUGCCCUCGCUUAACCGAAACAAGUAACCUUGGCAACGGCGUCAUCUACCUCCAAUGCAGUGGAGAGCGAGAGGAGGAGGAAGAUGAGGAGGAGGAGGAGGAGGAGGAGGAUGGGGGGGGUGAAGGCUCCACAGCUGAAGGUAGCCCCUCCCCUCCGGCGCCGCUGACAGAGAGCGGUCAGGCUGCGGUUUGGAACUCGCCCCGCACCGAGGAGCCGAGGAAGCGGAGCGCGCGCGAACACGGAAGAGAGACGUGCGGCAAAGCGACACGGCGUCACCGCGGCUGGACCCUCGCGCAGAAACGCCGGACGUCUUUGCGCCAGCCAUGCUUUAGCACGCCCCCUCCGUCCGGUUUUA
ensembl:lncRNA